UACGUAGGGUGCAAGCGUUGUCCGGAAUUAUUGGGCGUAAAGGGCGUGUAGGCGGUUUCGUAUGUCUGGUGUGAAAGCCCCGGGCUCACCUCGGGAAGUGCGUCGGAAACUGCGAGACUAGAGUCCCGGAGAGGGAGGCGGAAUUCCAGGUGUAGCGGUGAAAUGCGUAGAUAUCUGGAGGAAUACCGGUGGCGAAGGCGGCAUCCUGGACCGACAUUGACGCUGAGGAGCGAAAGCUAGGGGAGCAAACGGG
rnacentral:rRNA from 1 species